rnacentral:rRNA from 1 species
UACGUAGGGUGCGAGCGUUAAUCGGAAUUACUGGGCGUAAAGCGUGCGCAGGCGGUGAUGUAAGACCGAUGUGAAAUCCCCGGGCUUAACCUGGGAACUGCAUUGGUGACUGCAUUGCUGGAGUAUGGCAGAGGGGGUGGAAUUCCACGUGUAGCAGUGAAAUGCGUAGAGAUGUGGAGGACACCGAUGGCGAAGGCAGCCCCUGGGCCAAUACUGACGCUCAUGCACGAAAGCGUGGGGAGCAAACAGGAUA